ACUGGGAAAAGGCAUUCCCAGGGGACAGUGAGUGGAGAUUGUAGUUAUUCUUUGGGAAAAGGGAUCCUGAGAUUACGAGGAUAACAUAUGCAACAACACUAUAAGAACAAGGAUUUUUCUUGCUAGAGAAAAGGUGUUUAAGAGAGGAUACGUUAGAAGCCUUCAGGAUAUACAAGGGAUACCAUGAGAACAUGUGGAUAAGAUAUUUGAACGGAAGCGGUGAUAAACCAAAGGACUCAGGAAGAAAGUGGUCAGAGACAUGGCCUAAAAAUAAACCUAAGUUUUACUUGAUCUUACAAAAGAUCUACACCAGAUGAAGAUGUGAUUCCUACCAUCACAGAUAAUUGCCUUUUCAGCAAGAUGGCUGCCACUAGAAACCAGCUCAGAAAUGCCAGCUGUAAUUUAAAAUUAAAUUACAGUGGAUAUAGAAUCUCGUAGAGGGUUUCACAACAUUAGAUGUUCGAUCCCCUGGAAUACACUGGCUUUUCCUUCAAUUCACUUGAGAAUCCCACUGUGUGAAGUCUACCUGCACAUUCACAUCCAUAUACCAUGUUGUCCAUUACUAUUUGUAUUGAACUUAUUUAUGCCUUUAAAUUAUAACUCUUUGCUGGGGGAAAUUUUUUGCUGUUGCAUACACAGUGCCUUACAUCUCUUAAUAUAUACCUAUGGCUCUCCUUUAAGUUUAAGGAAUAGAAAUCUUUGUUUUAGCUGCUGAUGGACCAGGGAUCUAGUUCCAGUGUUGUGUGAAUGUGAUUGCAUCUAUUGUCUGAAAACAGAUUCUUUACUCCGGAUUUCUAUGCAGAUCUACCAAUGCUCUUCAAUUCUGAACUAUAGCAUCCUUUGCUAUUCCAGUCCCACCUCCAUAUUCUUAUUCUACAGCAUUCUGUAAUGUACCCUAGCUUCAACCCCAACCAGUUCAUCCAAAAUACUGCUGCCAAAACAACUUUUUCCAUUGUGUCACUCCCCUCUGAGAGACAUCACGGGAUACCCACUGCACAUUAAAUUCUAACUUCUAGUCUUCAAGGAUAUGGCACAAUGCCUAACUACAUUUAUGAUUUGUGGGUCUUUUGCACAUCACUCCCACAAUAACUGAUUUCAGCCUUGAUAUCCCUUUUCUUACAAAGGUCUUUGUCUUCUUUCAGGUUGUCUCUUGUGCCCAAAUACUGCCCUCCAAACCUGUUGGCUAAGUUACCUCCCUCAUUUCAUUUCAAUUUCUCCUAAAAAAUCACUUCAUCCAUUUUGCCUAUGAUGGAUGAGGGGGAGGAAAGGUAAACAAAAACCAACAGAACGAUUAAGAUGUGUAUUUGCCUGACUUCUUCUUAGCGGAUGCGCAAUGUGCCUCAUGUGACCAGGAUUCAUCACUGAAUCUGGUCUGCUAGUUGGAUCAUUAGCACCCCCAGCUUGGGCCAGGUACUGAUAGGGAGUGCAAUGUGAACACUGAUCUAUGCCCCCCCCCCGUGCCUGACGGAAUAGCCAUAUCAUAUAAUUCUCAUUCUUGUCCUUCCCUCCCCUCCUCUCUUAUUACCCUGUUUCCUGUUGACCAGGGACAAUGUCUUUACUUGCUUUGUAAGGCAGACAGCACACUUCAGGGCAAUUGGAAAAUACAAAGUUAUUUUUAAACAGAGAAGUAAUGUGAUGUAGUGGAACAAUCACAAAGCAAAGAGCCAGAUAUUCCUUAUUUCUAACCCUGGCUCUGUUGCUGACUUGGCAUGUGACAUUUGGCAAAUCAUUUGGGGCCUAAUCAUGUGAUUGUUGAACAUCUUCAAUUCCAGGCUUUGCAAAACUAGGCUCUUAGCUUUCUGGUGUGCAGAAGCAGCACCAGCAAGGGGAAGAGGACAUAUGCAACAUCAUUAACAGGGCAAGACAGCAAAACAGAGCACCCCUAAGGACUUAUUGUGAGAGAAAGGGAUGUCUCAAGAGAUAUAUCUUGUGACUUCACAUGCUUUAGUAAAAGGAACAGGGAUUGUCAGAGUACAGUGCUUUCAAGUCACACCCCCAAUGCAUCCUACUGGAUUCUACCAAAGGAUGCAAGAAGAGGUUAAAAUGAGAUCAACACCUAUAUAUCCCAUAGGGAGAUGGUAAUAAUUUCAUUAAACAUCACAAGGCUUUGAAAAUGUAAUACUAUAAGUUUUUUAAAUUUUAGAUGAUACUAGCAAUGCAGAAAAUACUUAGCUAACGGGGUGAAUGUUUCCAAAUGAUAUGUAAUGAAGUACCAAUGGAUUAUGGUGAAUUUAUGUUUUGUUAUAAUGGCCAAAUCCUCACUUCUCUCCCAUCAUUACUUCAGUAUCUACAUAAUUUUUAGUUCUUUCAGGCCCUGAAAUGUAUCAUUAAUAUUUUAAGUUUGCUUUGACUUCUUAAAGGAUGCCUAAGAAGGCACCUGUCUUUUUUUUUUUGUCAUAUUGCUGGUAGAAGUCAAUAUCCAUAAUUUCUGUUACAAUGGUAGGAGUCACUUUCUAUCCCCCACAAAUGGUAGGAAAAUAAACCUUUAAGAAAACAAUAAUGCUGCUUGAUAUUGUUGGUUUUCAUGUGUAACAGAUUGAUUUAGAAACUAAAGGCAGGGAGGUAGCCAAAUGAUGAAAGAUCUAGAUGAGAGCAGCAUUUUCUAAUGAAAACUUGCAGUUAGGCUCAACAUGUAAAUAGCAGCAGUGUGCUAUUAUUAUUCAUCCUAAUAAACUUCUUUGCAUAAAGAUUAUUUAUCAUUUGCAGUUUAAGUUGCAGGUUGUUAUCUGGUGUAAACUUUGACUGACUAAUCU